GUUGUAUGGUUAAGUGACUAAGCGUACACGGUGGAUGCCUUGGCAGUCAGAGGCGAUGAAGGACGUAUUAACUUGCGAUAAGCCCAGAUUAGGUAGUAAAAACCAUUUGAGUCUGGGAUUUCCGAAUGGGGAAACCCACUAGCAUAAGCUAGUAUCGCUGCGUGAAUACAUAGCGCAGCGAGGCGAACCGGGGGAACUGAAACAUCUAAGUACCCCGAGGAAAAGAAAUCAACCGAGAUUCCGAAAGUAGCGGCGAGCGAAAUUGGACUAGCCCUUAAGCUUUUUAUGCGUCAGGUGAAACUUCUGGAAAGUUGUGCGAUACAGGGUGAUAGCCCCGUAACCGGCAACGCAUUUAAAGUGAAAUCGAGUAGGGCGGGACACGUGAUAUCCUGUCUGAAUAUGGGGGACCAUCCUCCAAGGCUAAAUACUACUGACUGACCGAUAGUGAACCAGUACCGUGAGGGAAAGGCGAAAAGAACCCCUGUGAGGGGAGUGAAAUAGAACCUGAAACCGUGUACGUACAAGCAGUAGGAGCACCUUCGUGGUGUGACUGCGUACCUUUUGUAUAAUGGGUCAGCGACUUAUAUUCAGUGGCAAGGUUAACCAUCUAGGGGAGCCGUAGGGAAACCGAGUCUUAACUGGGCGUUCAGUCUCUGGAUAUAGACCCGAAACCAGGUGAUCUAGCCAUGGGCAGGUUGAAGGUUGAGUAACAUCAACUGGAGGACCGAACCGACUAAUGUUGAAAAAUUAGCGGAUGACUUGUGGCUAGGGUGAAAGGCCAAUCAAACCUGGAGAUAGCUGGUUCUCCCCGAAAGCUAUUUAGGUAGCGCCUCGGACGAAUACUACUGGGGGUAGAGCACUGUUAAGGCUAGGGGGUCAUCCCGACUUACCAACCCUUUGCAAACUCCGAAUACCAGUAAGUACUAUCCGGGAGACACACGGCGGGUGCUAACGUCCGUCGUGGAGAGGGAAACAACCCAGACCGCCAGCUAAGGUCCCAAAUUACUACUAAGUGGGAAACGAUGUGGGAAGGCUCAGACAGCCAGGAUGUUGGCUUAGAAGCAGCCAUCAUUUAAAGAAAGCGUAAUAGCUCACUGGUCGAGUCGGCCUGCGCGGAAGAUGUAACGGGGCUAAGUAGUAAACCGAAGCUGCGGCAAUGCACUUUGUGCAUUGGGUAGGGGAGCGUUCUGUAAGCGGUUGAAGGUGUGUGGUAACGCAUGCUGGACGUAUCAGAAGUGCGAAUGCUGACAUGAGUAACGAUAAAGGGGGUGAAAAACCUCCUCGCCGGAAGACCAAGGGUUCCUGUCCAACGUUAAUCGGGGCAGGGUAAGUCGACCCCUAAGGCGAGGCCGAAAGGCGUAGUCGAUGGGAAACGGGUUAAUAUUCCCGUACUUCUUACAAUUGCGAUGGGGGGACGGAGAAGGCUAGGUGGGCCUGGCGACGGUUGUCCAGGUUCAAGUGCGUAGGCUGAGAAAUUAGGUAAAUCCGGUUUCUCUUAAGGCUGAGACACGACGUCGAGCUACUACGGUAGUGAAGUCAUUGAUGCCAUGCUUCCAGGAAAAGCCUCUAAGCUUCAGAUUGUAAGGAAUCGUACCCCAAACCGACACAGGUGGUCGGGUAGAGAAUACCAAGGCGCUUGAGAGAACUCGGGUGAAGGAACUAGGCAAAAUGGUACCGUAACUUCGGGAGAAGGUACGCUCUCGACGGUGAAGUCCCUUGCGGAUGGAGCUAUUGAGAGUCGCAGAUACCAGGUGGCUGCAACUGUUUAUUAAAAACACAGCACUGUGCAAAAUCGUAAGAUGACGUAUACGGUGUGACGCCUGCCCGGUGCCGGAAGGUUAAUUGAUGGGGUUAGACUUCGGUCGAAGCUCUUGAUCGAAGCCCCGGUAAACGGCGGCCGUAACUAUAACGGUCCUAAGGUAGCGAAAUUCCUUGUCGGGUAAGUUCCGACCUGCACGAAUGGCGUAAUGAUGGCCACGCUGUCUCCACCCGAGACUCAGUGAAAUUGAAAUCGCUGUGAAGAUGCAGUGUACCCGCGGCUAGACGGAAAGACCCCGUGAACCUUUACUACAGCUUGGCACUGAACAUUGACCCUACAUGUGUAGGAUAGGUGGGAGGCUUUGAAACUAGUACGCCAGUAUUAGUGGAGCCGUCCUUGAAAUACCACCCUUGUAGUGUUGAUGUUCUAACGUCGACCCCUUACCGGGGUUGCGGACAGUGCCUGGUGGGUAGUUUGACUGGGGCGGUCUCCUCCCAAAGCGUAACGGAGGAGCACGAAGGUGGGCUAAUCACGGUUGGACAUCGUGAGGUUAGUGCAAUGGCAUAAGCCCGCUUGACUGCGAGAAUGACAAUUCGAGCAGGUGCGAAAGCAGGUCAUAGUGAUCCGGUGGUUCUGAAUGGAAGGGCCAUCGCUCAACGGAUAAAAGGUACUCCGGGGAUAACAGGCUGAUACCGCCCAAGAGUUCAUAUCGACGGCGGUGUUUGGCACCUCGAUGUCGGCUCAUCACAUCCUGGGGCUGAAGUCGGUCCCAAGGGUAUGGCUGUUCGCCAUUUAAAGUGGUACGCGAGCUGGGUUUAGAACGUCGUGAGACAGUUCGGUCCCUAUCUGCCGUGGGCGUUGGAAGAUUGAAGGGGGCUGCUCCUAGUACGAGAGGACCGGAGUGGACGAACCUCUGGUGUUCGGGUUGUGUCGCCAGACGCAUUGCCCGGUAGCUAAGUUCGGAAUCGAUAACCGCUGAAAGCAUCUAAGCGGGAAGCGAGCCCUGAGAUGAGUCUUCCCUGAUACUUUAAGUAUCCUAAAGGGUUGUUCGAGACUAGAACGUUGAUAGGCAGGGUGUGUAAGCGUUGUGAGGCGUUGAGCUAACCUGUACUAAUUGCCCGUGAGGCUUAACCAUACAACACCCAAGGGGUUU
rnacentral:rRNA from 1 species